rnacentral:rRNA from 1 species
UACGGAGGAUGCAAGCGUUAUCCGGAAUGAUUGGGCGUAAAGCGUCCGCAGGUGGCUAUGUAAGUCUGCUGUUAAAGAGUCUAGCUCAACUAGAUAAGAGCAGUGGAAACUACAAGGCUAGAGUACGUUCGGGGCAGAGGGAAUUCCUGGUGUAGCGGUGAAAUGCGUAGAGAUCAGGAAGAACACCAGUGGCGAAGGCGGUUGCCUGGAGCUUUGCUGACGCUGAUGCGCGAAAGCGUGGGGAGCGAUCCGG